rnacentral:tRNA from 1 species
GGUGGCUCAGUGGUUAAGUGUUCAGUUGUUAACUGAAAGGUUGGUGGUUUGAAUCCACCAGCCACUU